GAUGAACGCUAGCGGCAGGCCUAAUACAUGCAAGUCGAGGGGCAGCGCGGUAGCAAUACUGGCGGCGACCGGCGCACGGGUGCGUAACACGUAUGCAACCUACCUUCAACUGGAGGAUAGCCCGGGGAAACUCGGAUUAAUACUCCAUAACACAGGGAUCCCGCAUGGGAAUAUUGUUAAAAGCUACGGCGGUUGAAGAUGGGCAUGCGUUCGAUUAGCUAGUUGGUGUAGGUAACGGCUCACCAAGGCUACGAUCGAUAGGGGGUCUGAGAGGAUGAUCCCCACACUGGUACUGAGAUACGGACAGACUCCUACGGGAGGCAAGCAGUAGGGAAUA
rnacentral:rRNA from 1 species